UACGGGGGGGGGCAAGCGUUGUUCGGAAUUACUGGGCGUAAAGGGCUCGUAGGCGGCCAACUAAGUCAUACGUGAAAUCCCUCGGCUUAACCGGGGAACUGCGUCCGAUACUGGCAGGCUUGAAUCCGGGAGAGGGAUGCGGAAUUCCAGGUGUAGCGGUGAAAUGCGUAGAUAUCUGGAGGAACACCGGUGGCGAAGGCGGCAUCCUGGACCGGCAUUGACGCUGAGGCGCGAAAGCCAGGGGAGCAAACGGGG
rnacentral:rRNA from 1 species